UACGUAGGGGGCGAGCGUUGUCCGGAAUCAUUGGGCGUAAAGAGCGUGUAGGCGGUUCGGUAAGUCUGCCGUGAAAACCUGGGGCUCAACCCCGGGCGUGCGGUGGAAACUGCCUGACUAGAGGAUGGUUGAGGGGAGUGGAAUUCCCGGUGUAGCGGUGAAAUGCGCAGAUAUCGGGAGGAACACCAGUAGCGAAGGCGGCUCCCUGGGCCAUUCCUGACGCUGAGGAGCGAAAGCGUGGGGAGCGAACAGG
rnacentral:rRNA from 1 species